GACGUAGGGCGCGAGCGUUUGUCCGGAUUUAUUGGGCGUAAAGAGCUCGUAGGCGGCUUGUCGCGUCGAAUGUGAAAACUCGGGGGCUCAACUCCGAGCUUGCAUUCGAUACGGGCAGGCUAGAGUUCGGUAGGGGGAGACUGGAAUUCCUGGUGUAGCGGUGGAAUGCGCAGAUAUCAGGAGGAACACCGGUGGCGAAGGCGGGUCUCUGGGCAGUAACUGACGCUGAGGAGCGAAAGCGUGGGUAGCAAACAGG
rnacentral:rRNA from 1 species